AACGAACGCUGGCGGCGUGCCUAACACAUGCAAGUCGAGCGAGAAAGUCCCUUCGGGGGCGAGUAGAGCGGCGGACGGGUGAGUAAUACAUGGAUAAUCUCCCCUCGAGUUUGGGAUAACCCUGCGAAAGUGGGGCUAAUACCGGAUAAGACCACAUGACAUAUGUCACGGGGUAGAAGGUGGCUUAUAUUUAUAUGAGCUAUCACUUGAGGAUGAGUCCACGGCCUAUCAGCUUGUUGGUGAGGUAAGAGCUUACCAAGGCUAUGACGGGUAGCUGGUCUGAGAGAACGACCAGCCACACUGGGACUGAGACACGGCCCAGACUCCUACGGGAGGCAGCAGUGGGGAAUAUUGGGCAAUGGGCGAAAGCCUGACCCAGCGACGCCGCGUGGGUGAUGAAGGCCUUCGGGUUGUAAAGCCCUUUCGUGCGGAAAGAACAGCCCUGUAGUUAAUACCUGUAGGGUUUGACGGUACCGCAGGAAGAAGCACCGGCUAACUCCGUGCCAGCCGCCGCCGUAACAC
rnacentral:rRNA from 1 species